UACGAAGGUGGCAAGCGUUGUUCGGAUUUACUGGGCGUACAGGGAGCGUAGGCGGUUGGGUAAGCCCUCCGUGAAAUCUCCGGGCCUAACCCGGAAAGGGCGGAGGGGACUGCUCGGCUAGAGGAUGGGAGGGUAGCGGAAUUCCCGGUGUAGUGGUGAAAUGCGUAGAUAUCGGGAGGAACACCAGUGGCGAAGGCGGCUACCUGGCCCACUCUUGACGCUGAGGCGCGAAAGCUAGGGGAGCAAACGGGG
rnacentral:rRNA from 1 species